GUGGAGAUCCCUGUCUACCUGAGGUCUUCUAAGGGACUGGAGAAAAAAGUAUGAUUGGGCUGUGUGAACUGGGGAAUUGGUAGUGCAAGCACCAAGAAAUCUAGCUGAUUCUACUACUGCGGCACAGUUCUAAGAGACAAUUGGAAGAAGUGUUAACAAAACCAAGAUGGAUUGUAUUAAUCAGUGGCAAAGGAAGAGGAAUGUUAUAACAUCUGUGAUGAAGACUGGUGACUGAGCACUGAAUUAUUUCAACUGCUACCAUAGAAUUAUAGAAGGGAUUAGGCUGGAGAGGACCUUCAAGUUCAUCAAGCUCCAGCCCUAUGUCAUGGGCUACCCACUAGAUCAGGCUUCCCUGGAUCCUACCCAACCUGGCCUUGAGCCCUUCCAAGGAAGGGGCACUCAUAGCCUCUGUGGGCAACCUGUGCCAGUGCCUCACCACCUUUCGGAUAAAAAAUUUCUGCCUAAUAUCUAACCUAAGUCUCCCCCUCUUUUCCCCCUUGUCCUAUCACUAUCAGACUGUGUAAAAAGUUGUUCUCCCUCCUGCUUGUAAACUCCCUUCAGGUAUUGCAAAGCCACAAUGAGGUCUCCUCAGACUCUUCUGUAAGCUAAACAAGCCCAGCUCCCUUGACCUUUCCUCAUAGGAGAGGUUCUCCAGCCC
ensembl:lncRNA